rnacentral:tRNA from 1 species
GCCCCGAUAGUACAGAGGCCAAGUACGCCGCCCUCUCAAGGCGGUAACCUGAGUUCGAAUCUCAGUCGGGGCG